rnacentral:rRNA from 1 species
GGACGAACGCUGGCGGCGUGCUUAACACAUGCAAGUCGAACGAUGAAGCCCGAGCUUGCUGUGGGGGAUUAGUGGCGAACGGGUGAGUAACACGUGAGCAACCUGCCCUUGACUCUGGGAUAAGCGCCGGAAACGGAAUCUAAUACCGGAUAUGACGUGCGGCCGCAUGGCCUGUAGCUGGAAAGAUUUUCGGUCUGGGAUGGGCUCGCGGCCUAUCAGCUUGUUGGUGAGGUAAUGGCUCACCAAGCCUACGACGGGUAGCCGGCCUGAGAGGGUGACCGGCCACACUGGGACUGAGACACGGCCCAGACUCCUACGGGAGGCAGCAGUGGGGAAUAUUGCACAAUGGGCGCAAGCCUGAUGCAGCAACGCCGCGUGAGGGAUGACGGCCUUCGGGUUGUAAACCUCUUUUAGCAAGGAAGAAGCGAAAGUGACGGUACCUGCAGAAAAAGCACCGGCUAACUACGU